rnacentral:rRNA from 1 species
AUUGAACGCUGGCGGCAUGCCUUACACAUGCAAGUCGAACGGCAGCACGGGAGCAAUCCUGGUGGCGAGUGGCGAACGGGUGAGUAAUAUAUCGGAACGUGCCCAGUCGUGGGGGAUAACGUAGCGAAAGCUACGCUAAUACCGCAUACGAUCUAUGGAUGAAAGCGGGGGAUCGCAAGACCUCGCGCGAUUGGAGCGGCCGAUAUCAGAUUAGGUAGUUGGUGGGUAAAGCCUACCAAGCCUUCGAUCUGUAGCUGGUCUGAGAGGACGACCAGCCACACUGGAACUGAGACACGGUCCAGACUCCUACGGGAGGCAGCAGUGGGGAAUUUUGGACAAUGGGCGCAAGCCUGAUCCAGCAAUGCCGCGUGCAGGAUGAAGGCCUUCGGG